AUUCUGUAGAAGAUUGAGGAAUUCCUAAACUCCUCACUUGCCCAUCAUGGGAAUUGAGAGCAAGGAGAGCUUUGCUGCCUGCUGUGUCCUACGGAGUAGACUAACCAUCCGGGUGGAUUCAUGGCCCUUCACCAGCUGAUUAGAUGGAUGGGUACCGAGCCAACCCAGUUCUAUAUACAGAUUGUCACAUCGUCAGCGGUGAAGGGGAAGCUCUGCAAUCACUGAGAAGCACGGACUCCAGGUCAGAAUGCUUGGGUUUGGAUCCUCUCUCUAUUAUCUGAUAUUAUGUGACCACUGGCAACAUAUUGUUUUAAUGCAGAUCUUAUUCUUGUUAAGAAGAUAAUACCUACAUCCCAAGUUACUGAGAGUGCAAAGGAAAAAUUAUAAGCAAUGCCCUGGUCACAUCAUGCACACUCAGUAAUUGUUAAUAGUCUGAAGUAUUUUUAUCUACUCUGGGUGUUCAGAGCUCUUUCAGUG
rnacentral:lncRNA from 1 species